rnacentral:rRNA from 1 species
AUUGAACGCUGGCGGCAGGCUUAACACAUGCAAGUCGAACGAGUGGCGGACGGGUGAGUAAUGCUUGGGAAUCUGGCUUAUGGAGGGGGAUAACGACGGGAACCUGUCGCUACUAGCGCGUACCAUAGGAUGAGGCCAAGUGGGAUUAGGUAGUUGGUGGGGUAUGGGCCUACCAAGCCGACGAUCCCUAGCUGGUCUGAGAGGAUAACCAGCCACACCGGGACUGGGACACGGCCCUGACUCCUACGGGAGGCAGCAGUGGGGAAUAUUGGGCAAUGUGGGCAACCUGACGCAGCAAUGCCGCGUGAAUGAAGAAGGCCUUCGGGUUGUAAAGUUCUGUCGGUUCAGAGGCGUUAAUCACAGAAGAAGCACCGGCUAACUUCGUGCCAGCAGCCGCGGUAAGAC